ACUGCUAUCGGAUGAUACUAAGCCAUGCGAGUCUUUGUAGUAAUACAAGGCAGACGGCUCAGUAACACGUAGUCAACCUACCCUAUGGACGAGAAUAAUCUCGGGAAACUGAGCAUAAUUCUUGAUAGAUCAUAAUGCCUGGAAUGGUUUAUGGUUAAAAUGAUUCGUCGCCAUAGGAUGGGACUGCGGCCUAUCAGCUUGUUGGUGAGGUAAUGGCCCACCAAGGCGAUUACAGGUACGGGCUCUGAGAGGAGAAGCCCGGAGAUGGGUACUGAGACACGGACCCAGGCCCUAUGGGGCGCAGCAGGCGAGAAAACUUUGCAAUGUGCGAAAGCACGACAAGGUUAAUCCGAGUGAUUUCUGCUAAAGAAAUCUUUUGUCAGUCGUAAAACCACUGGCGAAUAAGGGGUGGGCAAGUUCUGGUGUCAGCCGCCGCGGUAAAACCAGCACCUCAAGUGGUCAGGAUGAUUAUUGGGCCUAAAGCAUCCGUAGCCGGCUUUGUAAGUUUUCGGUUAAAUCCAUGUGCUCAACGCAUGGGCUGCCGAAAAUACUGCAUGGCUAGGGAGUGGGAGAGGUAGACGGUACUCAGUAGGAAGGGGUAAAAUCCUUUGAUCUAUUGAUGACCACCUGUGGCGAAGGCGGUCUACCAGAACACGUUCGACGGUGAGGGAUGAAAGCUGGGGGAGCAAACCGGAUUAGAUACCCGGGUAGUCCCAGCCGUAAACGAUGCAGACUCGAUGAUGCAUUGGCAUAAUAGCCAAUGCAGUGUCGCAGGGAGGCCGUUAAGUCUGCCGCCUGGGAAGUACGUACGCAAGUAUGAAACUUAAAGGAAUUGGCGGGG
rnacentral:rRNA from 1 species